UACGUAGGGUGCGAGCGUUAAUCGGAAUUACUGGGCGUAAAGCGUGCGCAGGCGGUUAUGUAAGACAGAUGUGAAAUCCCCGGGCUCAACCUGGGAACUGCAUUUGUGACUGCAUGGCUAGAGUGUGGCAGAGGGGGGUAGAAUUCCACGUGUAGCAGUGAAAUGCGUAGAUAUGUGGAGGAAUACCGAUGGCGAAGGCAGCCCCCUGGGCCAAGACUGACGCUCAUGCACGAAAGCGUGGGGAGCAAACAGG
rnacentral:rRNA from 1 species